rnacentral:rRNA from 1 species
GAUGAACGCUGGCGGCGUGCCUAAUACAUGCAAGUCGAGCGAACAGACGAGGAGCUUGCUCCUCUGACGUUAGCGGCGGACGGGUGAGUAACACGUGGAUAACCUACCUAUAAGACUGGGAUAACUUCGGGAAACCGGAGCUAAUACCGGAUAACAUGUUGAACCGCAUGGUUCAACAGUGAAAGAUGGUCUUGCUGUCACUUAUAGAUGGAUCCGCGCCGCAUUAGCUAGUUGGUAAGGUAACGGCUUACCAAGGCAACGAUGCGUAGCCGACCUGAGAGGGUGAUCGGCCACACUGGAACUGAGACACGGUCCAGACUCCUACGGGAGGCAGCAGUAGGGAAUCUUCCGCAAUGGGCGAAAGCCUGACGGAGCAACGCCGCGUGAGUGAAGAAGGUCUUCGGAUCGUAAAACUCUGUUAUUAGGGAAGAACAAAUGUGUAAGUAACUAUGCACGUCUUGACGGUACCUAAUCAGAAAGCCACGGCUAACUACGUG